GAGGGUGUGGCGACGGAAGGACGGUGGUGAUUGAAACGGAACUUAUGUGGGAGGACGCGCCCUUGGGUUCGUUUCAGAGGUGUGCAACACGCGGAGUAUGGAAAUGCAUUAGGUGGAAGGUUCCGUUUCUAAUGAUAGCAAUUGGAACGCAUACUU
rnacentral:SRP_RNA from 1 species